GUCCAUUCAGCCCUACUCCUACGCUCCACCGCUUCACCGAUUCCUCUCUCCCGCCAUGGCCAUGGAGCUCUCUGCAUCCCGACCCAUUUCUAACCUACCACUUUUCUCUACUGUUCUCGCCGGAAACCCGCAGCUCCGUCCGAGGCACUCUCUUCCUCUCAGAAUCGCCAUAGUCUCCCGCUCUACUCGUAGCCUUCACUUCCGAUGUCGUCCUUUUUCUGUUUCGUUGCCAAGAGCAGCAGCCUCUGAUGAUUCAAAUGGUUAUCGACCAUUCAUUACUGAAGAACGGGAUGGUGCGAUAAUCUUGGAAGAUUCUCCUGCUGAGAAGCUCCCAUCCGACGAAAUGGCGUCAUCAGAAGAACCAGUUGAGGGUGCGCAAGAACAGGCGUUCGAUUUAUGGAACGGUCUUCAAUUCGAGUCUGUUGAUGUAUACAAUCUUAUCCUAUAUGGUUCUGGUGCUUUUUUGGGCCUUUGGUUGGUUUCAGCCAUUGUUGGUGCUAUUGAUUCCAUCCCAGUGGUUCCUAAGCUGUUGGAAGUUGUGGGGCUUGGUUACACAGUAUGGUUCACAGCUCGCUAUUUGUUAUUGAAGGAAAGUAGAGAUGAAUUGGCUGCUAAGAUCGAUGAGUUAAAGGACCAGGUUGUUGGUUCGGAUUGACGUCGGAUUUGGAAAGAGAACGAGAAUGAUUGUAAAUCUUUCACAUGUUCAAUAACACAAGAGUAGGCUUUUAUGCAAUGGGAAUAAGGGAUGAGAGUGAUGGAUUUUUCUUCUAGGAGAUGGGAUUUCUUAUGGAGAUGCUUUUUUACUAUAGAGGUGGUGGAGGUUUAAUCGGUUGGUCGAGUCGUGGUAGCUUUGGGAGUAAAAGUAUUCAGCCUUCUAUGAAACCAUUUAGAUGUUAGAGUUGGGUUUGUGUUCUCACCAUUUCUUUUCACGUUUUCAUUUCAUUGAAGGGAGAGAAAAUCUUCACUGUUAAGAGACGUCAAAAACAAUCAAAAGUAUUGGGAAAAAGAUGGAAAUCUGUCAAACAAGCCUCUUCCUCUGUUUCCCUUUUGACCAAAUCUCUUACCUCUUGUCGGUUUGUUGUUCAUGUAUUGAUUUUUAUUUGCUUUC